rnacentral:rRNA from 1 species
AUGCCCAAUGCCGAGUUGGCGCCACCUUCAUGGCGUGUGGCUACAGCUACCCAUGGCGUCAUGGUGUGCGGAUUCGUCCCGGACAAUGCUACAGUGUCGCUGGAGGACGGUGCCUCAGGCCCUCAUCCUGGUGGAAGAAAUGGAGUCUGCUUCCUGGACGCCCCCCAUACAAAGCAUAGGAGAGAGAAACUGCAAUCGACCACAACAAUGACAUGCCGAGGUGUCCUUCUCCAGCAAAUCGGCACAGCACAAUCUGCGCGCCAUGAAGGUGGAGCUGACUCGGUGGCGGCGCUGUCACAGACCAGAUUUGAAAUGUCAGACUCACGUUGGUACAUUACAGAGAGAAAGGAAAACACAGAUGGUAGCACUAGCUGA